rnacentral:rRNA from 1 species
CGGCGCCGCCCCGGGGCUCGUGAUAUCUCAUCUCGCGCCCGUCGCGAGGCGGACGGAGGGAUGGAUGAGGUUACCUGGAAAAAAUCGGGGCGAUCUAGGCGGGCGAACCUCGCCAACGAACGAUCGGACAUGGGAUAACGGAAGAGGGCGUCGGCUCGACUUCGUCGGUUCCUCGGGCCGAGGCACGUACGGUGAAUAGGGACGGUCGGGGCCGCCCGUACCGGGUCGUGAGAGGUGAAAUUCUAGGAUCGACCCGAGACGAACCGCCGCGAAAGCAUUCGGCAAGGACGCUUUCAUUAAUCAAGAACGAAAUCGGGGGAUCGAAGACGAUCAGAUACCGUCGUAGUCCCGACCGUAAACGAUGCCGACCGAGGGCCCGGAGGAGUUACGUACGACCCUCCGGGCCCUCCCGCGAGAAAUCAGGAGUAUUCGGGUUCCGGGGGGAGUAUGGUCGCAAGGCCGAAACUUAAAGGAAUUGACGGAAGGGC